AUUGACAUUAUCGGCAGCUGGCUGAUCAUAUAAGUGGCACACAUACUGGCAAAGAAGUGCAAAUGUUGACUGCUCCAAGUUAAAGCACUUGUGGAGUCCCGCGAGUGUACCGGUUGACAGGGUCUCUGCAAAAACCAGCUCGCAGAUGUUGCGCUUGGUGGGGAUGUGAAACACCAGCUGGGGGAAAUCACGAGCCAGCCUCUUCUUCAACAUAUCCUGUCUGCAACAGAACAAAACAGUGACAAUUAAGAGUCACAGGAGUAUCAUGAAAAGCAGAGAGUGGUGCAGGUGGUACAAGACAUUACAGGCUAGAACCUAUCUGCCAUACAGCACAUUUAACACCAAAGAUGCCCAAGAAAGGCACACAACAUCACGCACGCACACACACACGCACACACACAUGUUGGAGGAGAAAAUGUGUUAACAAUUAUCUCUCCCGAAGGUUGGGGGAGGAAGCUAAAUCAUUCAUGAGGGUCAUGGGUAAAGGUCACCACCAAGGGGUCUUGAACUGAGCUUGAACCUAUCAGAAUAAACAAGCCUUCGGGGUGUCUCAACUUCCUCUGAUAGUAAACAGAUGGACUUUGGAAUGUGGAUUGUCUCUGAGAUGUAUAAAGGUUGUAGUCUUGCACUGAGAGAGCAGCAGUUAUCUCUGACGGCUUCGAGAGAAGGCUCGGGGAUUCUGCUCCAUUCAGCUGAAUGUUUUCAUGACUUGUUUGUUAUUUAGCGUUUGGUUGAUGACUUGUAAACUUGUUACUAUAAUAAAGUGUUAUGGGUCAACCAUG